rnacentral:tRNA from 1 species
GCCUUCGUAGUAUAGUGGUUAGUAUAGAGGACUGUGGAUCCUCGGACAGGAGUUCGAUUCCCCUCGAGGGCC